ACCUACUUUGCCCUCACCCCGGGGGAAAGCCUAAUCCCCGAUGGGAGCUACACAUGCAGUCGAGCGGUAGCACAGAGAGCUUGCUCUCGGGUGACGAGCGGCGGACGGGUGAGUAAUGUCUGGGAAACUGCCUGAUGGAGGGGGAUAACUACUGGAAACGGUAGCUAAUACCGCAUAAUGUCGCAAGACCAAAGUGGGGGACCUUCGGGCCUCAUGCCAUCAGAUGUGCCCAGAUGGGAUUAGCUAGUAGGUGGGGUAACGGCUCACCUAGGCGACGAUCCCUAGCUGGUCUGAGAGGAUGACCAGCUAACAUGGAACUGAGACACCGUCCCAGAUUCCUACGGGAGGCAGCAGUGGGGAAUAUUGCCCAAUGGGCGCAAGCCUGAUGCAGCCAUGCCGCGUGUGUGAAGAAGGCCUUUGGGGUUGUAAAGCACUUUCAGCGGGGAGGAAGGCGUUAAGGUUAAUAACCUUGGCGAUUGACGUUACCCGCAGAAGAAGCACCGGCUAACUCCGUGCCAGCAGCCGCGGUAAUACGGAGGGUGCAAGCGUUAAUCGGAAUUACUGGGCGUAAAGCGCACGCAGGCGGUCUGUCAAGUCGGAUGUGAAAUCCCCGGGCUCAACCUGGGAACUGCAUUCGAAACUGGCAGGCUAGAGUCUUGUAGAGGGGGGUAGAAUUCCAGGUGUAGCGGUGAAAUGCGUAGAGAUCUGGAGGAAUACCGGUGGCGAAGGCGGCCCCCUGGACAAAGACUGACGCUCAGGUGCGAAAGCGUGGGGAGCAAACAGGAUUAGAUACCCUGGUAGUCCACGCCGUAAACGAUGUCGAUUUGGAGGUUGUGCCCUUGAGGCGUGGCUUCCGGAGCUAACGCGUUAAAUCGACCGCCUGGGGAGUACGGCCGCAAGGUUAAAACUCAAAUGAAUUGACGGGGGCCCGCACAAGCGGUGGAGCAUGUGGUUUAAUUCGAUGCAACGCGAAGAACCUUACCUGGUCUUGACAUCCACAGAACUUUCCAGAGAUGGAUUGGUGCCUUCGGGAACUGUGAGACAGGUGCUGCAUGGCUGUCGUCAGCUCGUGUUGUGAAAUGUUGGGUUAAGUCCCGCAACGAGCGCAACCCUUAUCCUUUGUUGCCAGCGGUUAGGCCGGGAACUCAAAGGAGACUGCCAGUGAUAAACUGGAGGAAGGUGGGGAUGACGUCAAGUCAUCAUGGCCCUUACGACCAGGGCUACACACGUGCUACAAUGGCAUAUACAAAGAGAAGCGACCUCGCGAGAGCAAGCGGACCUCAUAAAGUAUGUCGUAGUCCGGAUUGGAGUCUGCAACUCGACUCCAUGAAGUCGGAAUCGCUAGUAAUCGUAGAUCAGAAUGCUACGGUGAAUACGUUCCCGGGCCUUGUACACACCGCCCGUCACACCAUGGGAGUGGGCUCAAAAGAAGUA
rnacentral:rRNA from 1 species